AGCGAACGCUGGCGGCAGGCUUAACACAUGCAAGUCGAGCGGGCACUUUCGGGUGUCAGCGGCGGGCGGGUGCGUAACGCGUGGGAACGUGCCCUCUGGUUCGGAAUAACUCAGGGAAACUUGAGCUAAUACCGGAUACGCCCUUUUGGGGAAAGGCUUGCUGCCGGAGGAUCGGCCCGCGUCUGAUUAGCUAGUUGGUGAGGUAACGGCUCACCAAGGCGACGAUCAGUAGCUGGUCUGAGAGGAUGAUCAGCCACACUGGGACUGAGACACGGCCCAGACUCCUACGGGAGGCAGCAGUGGGGAAUACUGGACAAUGGGCGCAAGCCUGAUCCAGCCAUGCCGCGUGAGUGAUCAAGGCCUUAGGGUUGUAAAGCUCUUUUAUCCGGGACGAUAAUGACGGUACCGGAGGAAUAAGCCCCGGCUAACUUCGUG
rnacentral:rRNA from 1 species